GCGCUGCAGUGCGAAGGGCUUGAAGACGGCCGGUUGGCAGAGCUACAUGGAUAAUCUGAUGUGCGAUGGCUGCUGUCAGGAGGCCGCCAUUGUCGGCUACUGCGAUGCCAAAUACGUACGGGCAGCCACGGCCGGGGGCAUCUCUCAGAGCAUUAUGCCAAUAGAAAUAGAUAUGAUUGUGGGAAAACACUGGGAAGGUUUCUUUACCAACUGUUUGACUCUUGGCGCGAAGAAAUGCUCAGUGAUCAGAGAUAGUCUAUACGUCGAUGGUGACUGCACAAUGGACAUCCGCACAAAGAGUCAAGGUGGGGAGCCAACAUACAAUGUUGCUGUCAGCAGAGCUGGUAGAGCACUGGUUAUAGUCAUGGGAAAGGAAGGUGUCGACGGAGGCACACUUAACAAGAAAGCAUAUGAAUUUGCUUUAUACCUGAGGAGGUCUGAAGUGUAAGCAGCCUCUCCCUAUCUCCUUAGCAACUGUCUUCAUCAACAACCCUAAUUGUGGUCACAAUGCUACCAAACUAUAGAUGGUAGCUAAUUUUUCUUUACCUAUUUUCUAAUGUCAUGAUUCCUGUUUGCCCAAUGGAUCAUUUGUAUGUUAACCACUGUAUGUAACCAACCCUUAUCUGGCAACAUAAUUGCAGCACAAUAAUGAUUUGCAUGAUACCUUGAAACUGGGGGGAGGGGGCAUGC